AGAGUUUGAUCCUGGCUCAGGACGAACGCUGGCGGCGCGCCUAACACAUGCAAGUCGAACGGAGCUUAGAGAGCUUGCUUUUUAAGCUUAGUGGCGAACGGGUGAGUAACGCGUGAGUAACCUGCCCUAGAGUGGGGGACAACAGUUGGAAACGACUGCUAAUACCGCAUAAGCCCACGGUACCGCAUGGCACUGAGGGAAAAGGAUUUAUUCGCUUUAGGAUGGACUCGCGUCCAAUUAGCUAGUUGGUGAGGUAACGGCCCACCAAGGCGACGAUUGGUAGCCGGACUGAGAGGUUGAACGGCCACAUUGGGACUGAGACACGGCCCAGACUCCUACGGGAGGCAGCAGUGGGGGAUAUUGCACAAUGGGGGAAACCCUGAUGCAGCGACGCCGCGUGGAGGAAGAAGGUUUUCGGAUUGUAAACUCCUGUCGUUAGGGACGAUAAUGACGGUACCUAACAAGAAAGCACCGGCUAACUACGUGCCAGCAGCCGCGGUAAAACGUAGGGUGCAAGCGUUGUCCGGAAUUACUGGGUGUAAAGGGAGCGCAGGCGGGAAGACAAGUUGGAAGUGAAAACCAUGGGCUCAACCCAUGAAUUGCUUUCAAAACUGUUUUUCUUGAGUAGUGCAGAGGUAGAUGGAAUUCCCGGUGUAGCGGUGGAAUGCGUAGAUAUCGGGAGGAACACCAGUGGCGAAGGCGGUCUACUGGGCACCAACUGACGCUGAGGCUCGAAAGCAUGGGUAGCAAACAGGAUUAGAUACCCUGGUAGUCCAUGCCGUAAACGAUGAUUACUAGGUGUUUGGGGGAUUGACCCCCUCAGUGCCGCAGUUAACACAAUAAGUAAUCCACCUGGGGAGUACGACCGCAAGGUUGAAACUCAAAGGAAUUGACGGGGGCCCGCACAAGCAGUGGAAGUAUGUGGUUUAAUUCGAAGCAACGCGAAGAACCUUACCAGGUCUUGACAUCCGAUGCUAAACCAGAAGAUGUGUGAAAUCCUUCGGGAAUCCAAACAAGUGGGUGCAUGGUUGUCUUCACCUCCGUGCCUGGAAAAUUUGGGGUUAAAUCCCCGCAACAGGGCGAACCCUUAUUGCCCUUUUUACCUUUUAAAAGGACUCUGGGGAGAUUGCCUUUGAAAAAACAAGGAGAAGGUGGGGAUGACGUCAAAUCAUCAUGCCCUUUAUGACCUGGGCUACACACGUACUACAAUGGCGUUAAACAAAGAGAAGCAAGACCGCGAGGUGGAGCAAAACUCAAAAACAACGUCUCAGUUCAGAUUGCAGGCUGCAACUCGCCUGCAUGAAGUCGGAAUUGCUAGUAAUCGCGGAUCAGCAUGCCGCGGUGAAUACGUUCCCGGGCCUUGUACACACCGCCCGUC
rnacentral:rRNA from 1 species